rnacentral:rRNA from 1 species
GAUGAACGCUGGCGGCGUGCCUAAUACAUGCAAGUCGAGCGAACAGACGAGGAGCUUGCUCCUCUGACGUUAGCGGCGGACGGGUGAGUAACACGUGGAUAACCUACCUAUAAGACUGGGAUAACUUCGGGAAACCGGAGCUAAUACCGGAUAAUAUAUUGAACCGCAUGGUUCAAUAGUGAAAGACGGUUUUGCUGUCACUUAUAGAUGGAUCCGCGCCGCAGUAGCUAGUUGGUAAGGUAACGGCUUACCAAGGCAACGAUGCGUAGCCGACCUGAUAGGGUGAUCAGCCACACUGGAACUAAGACACGGUCCAGAAUCCUACGGGAGGCAGCAGUAGGGAAUCUUCCGCAAUGGGCGAAAGCUUGACGGAGCAACGCCGCGUGAGUGAUGAAGGUCUUCGGAUCGUAAAACUCUGUUAUUAGGGAAGAACAAAGGUGUAAGUAACUAUGCACGUCUUGACGGUACCUAAUCAGAAAGCCACGGCUAACUACGUG